CGAACCCAACUAGUAUUCAUGAGGACAUGGGAUCAAUCCCUGGCCUUGCUCAGUGGGUUAAGGAUCUGGCAUUGCCAUGAGCUGUGGUGUAGGUCGCAGGCGCGGCCCAGAUCCAUUGCUGCUGUGGCUGUGGUGUAGGCUGGCAGCCGUAGCUCCAAUUUGACCCCCAGCCUGAGAACCUCCAUAUGCCGCCGGCGCGACCCUAAAAAAAAAGACAAAAAAAAAAAAAAAAAAAAAAAAAAAAAAGAAAUAAUGGUGUGUGUGCGUGCCAGUGUGUAAGAAUGCUAAAUAAGGUUGAUUAAUGCUGAUUGUUACCCUGAAAAGGCCUAGUUGGCCUGAAAUAGAGAAAGCAACAAUAUUUGGAUGCUGUUUUGUGGGUGAGCCUAUAUUGCUGUAAAUAGUGCGGUAAUUGCUUCUAAACACAAAGUUGUUGCCUAACUGAAUUUAAUAUUUUCCAGUAGGGAGUGAAAUUGAAUAAGUAGAAAAAUGUGUGCUGCAAUGCCUGUGCUUAUGUUGGGUAGGGCCUUCCAUUGCUGAAGGAAGUCAAAGGUAGAGGCCAAAUUGGUGGAUUUUCCAGUUGCGGUUAGUAAAAGUCCUAUGAAGGGUAAGCUGGGGUAGUUGAAGGGUAAGCUGGGGUAGUUGAGGUUAAGUAUAAAAACUUGUCAUAAAGCCCAUGUGUCUAAAUUGAAAAAGAAUCAUGCUAUUGAUGUAAUGAAUCCAGUAUCUCCCAUGUGGUUACAUAAGUUUACUUGGGAGUUCCCUGGUGGCCUAGCAGGUUAAGGACCAGCAUUGUCAUUGCUGCAGCUUGAUCCCUGGCCUAGGAACUUGUGCAUGCUCCAGGUGAGGCAAAAAAAACAAAACAAAAAACUUGAAGAACAGCUGUAUUUGUGUCUGCCAUGUGCCUAUCCAAUAAGUGAAAGAUACAUCAUUUCAUCUCCUCAUCCUAGGAAAAGUUGGAAAAGACUGUUGGCAGUGACAAGAAUUAGUUUUGUAAUUAGAGGAGUUUCCAUCACGGCUCAGUGGAAACGAAUCCAACUAGUGUCCAUGAGGACACAGGUUCGAUCCCAGGCCUCACUCAGUGGGUUAAGGAUCUGGCGUUGCCCUGAGCAGUGGUGUAGGUCACAGAUCCGACUCAGAUCUGGCAUUGUUGUGGCUAUGGCAUAGGGCAGCAGCUACAGCUGUUUCCCUUAGUCUGGGAACCUCCGUAUGCCGCAAGUAUGGCC
rnacentral:lncRNA from 1 species